rnacentral:lncRNA from 1 species
UUAUGCCUGGUUUUUUACCCAGUAGUCACAUCCAAUGUGAGUCUCAAGAGCAGAUGUUUCUUCCUCUAUCUCACUAGAGAAAAAGAAGUCCCUUUCCUGUUCCUGGAUAGAUUAUGUAAAAAUUUUCAAUGGAAAAAAAAGGAGAGCCCACCUUAUUUGCAAUUCCUUUCUGGUCCACUCAGGCAUGCUGGCAAAUGGGGAGUCCGAAUGCACGGAGCAAAGGUCAGUGAAACAUCUGCUUUCCCGGUCUUGUUAUUACCAGUAUGCUCUUCCCCAGCUUCUGUUGUUCCGGAAAUCUUUCAAGCAUAUAAUGGGCAAAGUUCCCUCAUAUCUAAAGCUUCAGCUCCAGCUGACACCUCAGUAAUUUGUUUCCCAUAGCAACUCAUUUGGGAUUCUUGACCUUGAUGGAAUGGCUAAUGCGGCCAUGUGGCCAACUCGGCGUCAGUGCCGCGGAGAGAUUCGAGCAAACCAUGACAAGUGUGUUUGUUUUUGUGUUUGGUGCCUUCAUUUUAUUAACCCUGGUUUGCUCUGGUUUCAGCAACAGUGCCCCAUAGCAAAAGCUUUCUCUCAGACUUCUUAGUUUUAAAAAGAGACACAUUUCAGUGGCUCGUUUUAAGAGGUUGAUAUAAAAUCAGACACUGAGGGCACCUGCAUUUUCUGAAGGUUAGAUGGAAUCAGAGUGUUCCUGGUUUAAUUCCAACAUCUCUGAUAAGUUCUCUAUGAGCAGCAUUGCUUUCUUUGCAGAGGCAAGACAAGAGCCAAGCAAUUCCAGAAUACAGUUAAAUGUAAGUAUUUCUGAAGAUGGCUGAAGUGUAAAUCAGCAGGAUGAAGUUCACAAUCUCUGUUAUUCCUUUAUAAGAAAUUCUAUCAAUUAUAUAAUUAAGGAAGCAGUUUCUUACUGUCAUUGAUGUGUUAGGUGUGAAUGCAAAUUUCCCAUUGACUUAAAUAAGCCAUGAUUUUAAAAAUGCAUGACUUAAAUUAACAUUUUUUCCUUUUUUUUUUAAAGUAGAUAAUGGUAGAUAAGUAGAUAAAAUAGAUAAG